rnacentral:rRNA from 1 species
CCCAAUUGUAUGUUUUCAUGCCUCCAAAUCUUGGAGGCUUUUUUAUGGUUCGUUCUUAUUACCCUUCUGAAUGUCACGCUGAUUAUUUUGACUUUGAGCGUAUCGAGGCUCUUAAACCUGCUAUUGAGGCUUGUGGCAUUUCUACUCUUUCUCAAUCCCCAAUGCUUGGCUUCCAUAAGCAGAUGGAUAACCGCAUCAAGCUCUU